rnacentral:rRNA from 1 species
AGUGGCGGACGGGUGAGUAACGCGUGAGAAUCUGCCUUGGGGUCGGGGACAACCACUGGAAACGGUGGCUAAUACCGGAUACGCCUUCGGGUAAAAGAUUUAUUGCCCUAAGAGGAGCUCGCGUCUGAUUAGCUAGUUGGUGAGGUAAGAGCUCACCAAGGCAGCGAUCAGUAGCUGGUCUGAGAGGACGAUCAGCCACACUGGGACUGAGACACGGCCCAGACUCCUACGGGAGGCAGCAGUGGGGAAUUUUCCGCAAUGGGCGAAAGCCUGACGGAGCAAGACCGCGUGAGGGAGGAAGGCUCUUGGGUUGUAAACCUCUUUUCUCAGGGAAGAAGAUCUGACGGUACCUGAGGAAUCAGCCUCGGCUAACUCCGUGCCAGCAGCCGCGGUAAUACGGAGGAGGCAAGCGUUAUCCGGAAUUAUUGGGCGUAAAGCGUCCGCAGGUGGCGAUUCAAGUCUGCUGUCAAAUCACGGGGCUUAACUCCGUAAAGGCAGUGGAAACUGAAUAGCUAGAGUGCCGUAGGGGUAGAGGGAAUUCCCGGUGUAGCGGUGAAAUGCGUAGAGAUCGGGAAGAACAUCGGUGGCGAAAGCGCUCUACUGGACGGCAACUGACACUCAGGGACGAAAGCUAGGGGAGCGAAUGGGAUUAGAUACCCC